UUUUAAGUGAAUGUGACCAGUUGAUGCAAGGUUCACAUAGUUUUUUUAAUUAAACGUUCAUUUAAUUUGUCACGCCUUAUUUUAUUUAUGUUUUGGAUUGUGGGCCUGCACUGUCUGCUUUUCACACCCCAUGUUCAUGGCCCAUCAACGCAUGUUACUUGUUUCCAGUUCGGUCCAAAUGCUAGUAUACCCCCCUUUUCGUGUCAUUUUUUUUAUUCCCAUUUUUUAUUUCUGUUUUGAUUUUUUAUUUCACAUUUUCAAUUUAUUCUUGAUUUAUUUUUAACCUAGUAUGGUUGGUUGACUUUUGGUUUGACUUUUGUUUUAUUUCAAUUAAUUCAUGUACCAAUUUUAUUUAUUUUUAAAAUCUUUUUGGGGAAUGAUGAUGUCCUGUCCCCACCUUAUUUAGUUUAAUUUUUCAUAAUU
rnacentral:lncRNA from 1 species